rnacentral:rRNA from 1 species
GACGUAGGGCGCGAGCGUUUGUCCGGAUUUAUUGGGCGUAAAGAGCUCGUAGGCGGCUUGUCGCGUCGACUGUGAAAACCCGUGGCUCAACCAUGUGGUCUGCAGUCGAUACGGGCAGGCUAGAAUUCGGUAGGGGAGACUGGAAUUCCUGGUGUAGCGGUGAAAUGCGCAGAUAUCAGGAGGAACACCGGUGGCGAAGGCGGCAUCCUGGACCAAUACUGACACUGAGGAGCGAAAGCCAGGGGAGCAAACGGG